AGUCAAGUAAUUAAGUGCAUGUGGUGGAUGCCUUGGCAGUCAGAGGCGAUGAAAGACGUGAUAGCCUGCGAAAAGCUCCGGGGAGGCGGCAAAUAUCCUUUGAUCCGGAGAUGUCUGAAUGGGGGAACCCACCUACUUUAAGGUAGGUAUUGCAACAUGAAUACAUAGUGUUGCAAGGCGAACGAGGGGAAGUGAAACAUCUCAGUACCCUUAGGAAAAGAAAUCAAUUGAGAUUCCCUCAGUAGCGGCGAGCGAACGGGGAUCAGCCCAUUAAGUUAUGUGUGUUUUAGUGGAACGCUCUGGGAAGUGCGAACGUAGAGGGUGAUAUUCCCGUACACGAAAGGGCACACAUAAUGAUGACGAGUAGGGCGAGGCACGUGAAACCUUGUCUGAAUAUGGGGGGACCAUCCUCCAAGGCUAAAUACUCCUGACUGACCGAUAGUGAACCAGUACCGUGAGGGAAAGGCGAAAAGAACCCCUGUGAGGGGAGUGAAAUAGAUCCUGAAACCGCAUGCAUACAAGCAGUGGGAGCACCUUCGUGGUGUGACUGCGUACCUUUUGUAUAAUGGGUCAGCGACUUAUAUUCAGUAGCGAGGUUAACCGUAUAGGGGAGCCGUAGAGAAAUCGAGUCUUAAUAGGGCGUUUAGUUGCUGGGUAUAGACCCGAAACCAGGCGAUCUAUCCAUGAGCAGGUUGAAGGUUGGGUAACACUAACUGGAGGACCGAACCCACUGUCGUUGAAAAGCCAGGGGAUGACUUGUGGAUAGGGGUGAAAGGCUAAUCAAGCCUGGUGAUAGCUGGUUCUCCCCGAAAGCUAUUUAGGUAGCGCCUCGGACGAAUACCAUAGGGGGUAGAGCACUGUUUCGGCUAGGGGGUCAUCCCGACUUACCAAACCGAUGCAAACUCCGAAUACCUAUGAGUACUAUCCGGGAGACAGACUGCGGGUGCUAACGUCCGUAGUCAAGAGGAAAACAAUCCAGACCGCCAGCUAAGGCCCCAAAAUCAUAGUUAAGUGGGAAACGAUGUGGGAAGGCAUAGACAGCUAGGAGGUUGGCUUAGAAGCAGCCACCCUUUAAAGAAAGCGUAAUAGCUCACUAGUCGAGUCGGCCUGCGCGGAAGAUGUAACGGGGCUAAAACUAUGUGCCGAAGCUGCGGAUGUAUACUUUGUAUACGUGGUAGGGGAGCGUUCUGUAAGCCGAUGAAGGUGUGUUGAGAAGCAUGCUGGAGGUAUCAGAAGUGCGAAUGCUGACGUGAGUAACGACAAAACGGGUGAAAAACCCGUUCGCCGAAAGACCAAGGGUUCCAGUCCAACGUUAAUCGGGGCUGGGUGAGUCGACCCCUAAGGCGAGGCCGAAAGGCGUAGUCGAUGGGAAAAUGGUUAAUAUUCCAUUACUUCUGUGUAAUGCGAUGAGAGGACGGAGAAGGCUAAAUCAGCCUGGCGUUGGUUGUCCAGGUGAAAGGAUGUAGGCAUGUAUCUUAGGCAAAUCCGGGGUACUCUAUGCUGAGAUCUGAUAGCAAGCUGUACUUGUACAGCGAAGUGGUUGAUGCCAUGCUUCCAGGAAAAGUCUCUAAGCUUCAGUUACACAGGAAUCGUACCCGAAACCGACACAGGUGGUCAGGUCGAGUAGACCAAGGCGCUUGAGAGAACUCUGCUGAAGGAACUAGGCAAAAUGGUACCGUAACUUCGGGAGAAGGUACGCUGUUGUUGGUGAUGGAACUCGCUUCCUGAGCUGACGACAGCCGCAGAAACCAGGCCGCUGCAACUGUUUAUUAAAAACAUAGCACUCUGCAAACACGAAAGUGGACGUAUAGGGUGUGAUGCCUGCCCGGUGCUGGAAGGUUAAUUGAUGGGGUUAGCGUAAGCGAAGCUCUUGAUCGAAGCCCCAGUAAACGGCGGCCGUAACUAUAACGGUCCUAAGGUAGCGAAAUUCCUUGUCGGGUAAGUUCCGACCUGCACGAAUGGCAUAAUGAUGGCGGCGCUGUCUCCAGCAGAGGCUCAGUGAAAUCGAAAUCGCUGUGAAGAUGCAGUGUACCCGCGGCUAGACGGAAAGACCCCGUGAACCUUUACUGCAGCUUGACACUGAACUUUGACCUUACUUGUGUAGGAUAGGUGGGAGGCUUUGAAGCUGGAACGCUAGUUCCAGUGGAGCCGUCCUUGAAAUACCACCCUGGUAAUGUUGAGGUUCUAACUCUGUCCCGUGAUCCGGGACGAGGACCGUGUCUGGUGGGUAGUUUGACUGGGGCGGUCUCCUCCUAAAGAGUAACGGAGGAGUACGAAGGUGCGCUCAGCGUGGUCGGAAAUCACGCGUAGAGUAUAAAGGCAAAAGCGCGCUUAACUGCGAGACCCACAAGUCGAGCAGGUACGAAAGUAGGUCUUAGUGAUCCGGUGGUUCUGUAUGGAAGGGCCAUCGCUCAACGGAUAAAAGGUACUCUGGGGAUAACAGGCUGAUACCGCCCAAGAGUUCAUAUCGACGGCGGUGUUUGGCACCUCGAUGUCGGCUCAUCUCAUCCUGGGGCUGAAGCAGGUCCCAAGGGUAUGGCUGUUCGCCAUUUAAAGAGGUACGCGAGCUGGGUUUAGAACGUCGUGAGACAGUUCGGUCCCUAUCUACCGUGGGCGCUGGAAAUUUGAGAGGAUCUGCUCCUAGUACGAGAGGACCAGAGUGGACGAACCUCUGGUGUACCGGUUGUGACGCCAGUCGCAUCGCCGGGUAGCUAUGUUCGGAAGGGAUAACCGCUGAAAGCAUCUAAGCGGGAAGCCUACCUCAAG
rnacentral:rRNA from 1 species